rnacentral:rRNA from 1 species
AUUGAACGCUGGCGGCAUGCCUUACACAUGCAAGUCGAACGGCAGCACGGGAGCAAUCCUGGUGGCGAGUGGCGAACGGGUGAGUAAUGUAUCGGAACGUGCCCAGUCGUGGGGGAUAACGCAGCGAAAGCUGUGCUAAUACCGCAUACGAUCUAUGGAUGAAAGCGGGGGAUCGCAAGACCUCGCGCGAUUAGAGCGGCCGAUAUCAGAUUAGGUAGUUGGUGGGGUAAAGGCCCACCAAGCCGACGAUCUGUAGCUGGUCUGAGAGGACGACCAGCCACACUGGGACUGGGACACGGACCAGACUCCUACGGGAGGCAGCAGUGGGGAAUUUUGGACAAUGGGGGAAACCCUGAUCCAGCCAUGCCGCGUGAGUGAAGAAGGCCUUCGGGUUGUAAAGCUCUUUCGGCUGGGAAGAAAUCGCACAGGCUAACACUCUGUGUGGAUGACGGUACCAGCACAAGAAGCACCGGCUAACUACGUGCCAGCAGCCGCAGUAA